GUGACUGUGUGAUUUGUAGUGACUGUGUGAUUAUUUGAGGUGACUGUGUGAUUAUUUGUAGUGACUGUGUGAUUAUUUGAGUGACUGUGUGAUUAUUUGAGGUGACUGUGUGAUUAUUUGAGGUGACUGUGUGAUUAUUUGAGGUGACUGUGAUUAUUGUGGUGACUGUAUUGAUUUGAGGUGACUGUGUGAUUAUUUGAGGUGACUGUGAUUAUUUGAGGUGACUGUGUGAUUAUUUGGGGUGACUGUGUGAUUAUUUGAGGUGACUGUGUGAUUAUUUGUAGUGACUGUGUGAUUAUUUGAGGUGACUGUGUGAUUAUUUGAAGUGACUGUGUGAUUAUUUGAGGUGACUCUGUGAUUUGAAGUGACCGUGUGAUUAUUUGAAGUGACUGUGUGAGUGUGUGAUGAUUUGCGGCAUCUGUCUAUGAUAAACACACAGCUAGUUAUAACCUUUCUUGUUUCUUACAACCUUUCUUACUUGUUAGCAAGAUUCACUUGGUGCAAAACUAAAGAAGCAAACUUUGGACACCAAACUUGCCCUACAUUUCAGGAAUACCGUGUACAUUCCACUGUUCCUUC
ensembl:lncRNA